AGAAUUUGAUCCUGGCUCAGGAUGAACGCUGGCGGCGUGCUUAACACAUGCAAGUCGAACGGAAGCACUUUAUUAUGAUUUCUUCGGAAUGACGAUUUAGUGACUGAGUGGCGGACGGGUGAGUAACGCGUGGGUAACCUGCCUUAUACAGGGGAUAACAGUUAGAAAUGACUGCUAAUACCGCAUAAGCGCACAGGAUUGCAUUGAUCUGGUGUGAAAAACUCCGGUGGUAUAAGAUGGA
rnacentral:rRNA from 1 species